GUUUCAAUUUUUUAAUAGACAUCCCAAAAUACAUAGCAGAGUGUGUGUAAAAAAUGGCAGGCAAGCCCGGGAGGGCCGCCGCCUCAAGGGUGCACGAGGUGUGUGGAAAUGAAGGGGACGUGCACAUGCCCGAAGGCCAGCACAGUCCCCGACGGUCAUACUCGAUAAUGAUCCUUCCGCAGGUUCACCUACGGAAA
rnacentral:misc_RNA from 1 species